rnacentral:rRNA from 1 species
AUUGAACGCUGGCGGCAGGCUUAACACAUGCAAGUCGGGCGGGGGAAGGUAGCUUGCUACCGGACCUAGCGGCGGACGGGUGAGUAAUGCUUAGGAAUCUGCCUAUUAGUGGGGGACAACAUCUCGAAAGGGAUGCUAAUACCGCAUACGUCCUACGGGAGAAAGCAGGGGAUCUUCGGACCUUGCGCUAAUAGAUGAGCCUAAGUCGGAUUAGCUAGUUGGUGGGGUAAAGGCCUACCAAGGCGACGAUCUGUAGCGGGUCUGAGAGGAUGAUCCGCCACAGCAGAACUGAGACACGGCCCGGACUCCUACGGGAGGGAGCAGUUGGGAAUGUUGGACAAUGGGGGGAACCGUGGUCCAGCCAGGCCGCGUGUGUGAAGAAGGCCUUAUGGUUGUAAAGCACUUUAAGUGAGGAGGAGGCUACUCUAGUUAAUACCUAAGGAUAGUGGACGUUACUCGCAGAAUAAGCACCGGCUAACUCUGUGCCAGCCGCCGCGGUAA